ensembl:miRNA
GGAGGAUUGCUUGAUCCUGGGAGAUGGAGGUUGCAGUGAGCUGAGAUCACGCCACUGCACUCCAGCCUGGGUGACAGAGUGAGACUCUGUCUC